UCUCCUCAGGUUUCUCUUCAAGAGCCUCCACUGGUUUUACUUCAGGAGCCUCCACAGGUUUCUCUUCAGGAGCCUCCACAGGUUUCACCUCAGGAGCCUCCACAGGUUUUGCCUCAGGAGCCUCCACAAGUUUUGCCUCAGGAGCCUCCACAGAU